rnacentral:rRNA from 1 species
AUUGAACGCUGGCGGCAUGCUUUACACAUGCAAGUCGAACGGUAACAGGGAGCUUGCUCCGCUGACGAGUGGCGAACGGGUGAGUAAUGCGUCGGAACGUGCCGAGUAGUGGGGGAUAACGCAUCGAAAGGUGUGCUAAUACCGCAUACGUACUGAGGUAGAAAGUGGGGGACCUUCGGGCCUCACGCUAUUCGAGCGGCCGACGUCUGAUUAGCUAGUUGGUGAGGUAAAGGCUCACCAAGGCGACGAUCAGUAGCGGGUCUGAGAGGAUGAGCCGCCACACUGGGACUGAGACCCGGCCCAGACUCCUACGGGAGGCAGCAGUGGGGAAUUUUGGACAAUGGGCGCAAGCCUGAUCCAGCCAUGCCGCGUGUCUGAAGAAGGCCUUCGGGUUGUAAAGGACUUUUGUCCGGGAGCAAAUGCUGGUGGCUAACAUCCACCGGAGCUGAGAGUACCGGAAGAAUAAGCACCGGCUAACUACGUGCCAGCAGCCGCAGUAAAAC